GACGAACGCUGGCGGCGUGCUUAACACAUGCAAGUCGAACGGAAAGGCCCUGCUUUUGUGGGGUGCCCGAGUGGCGAACGGGUGAGUAACACGUGAGUAACCUGCCCUUGACUUUGGGAUAACUUCAGGAAACUGGGGCUAAUACCGGAUAGGAGCUCCUGCUGCAUGGUGGGGGUUGGAAAGUUUCGGCGGUUGGGGAUGGACUCGCGGCUUAUCAGCUUGUUGGUGGGGUAGUGGCUUACCAAGGCUUUGACGGGUAGCCGGCCUGAGAGGGUGACCGGCCACAUUGGGACUGAGAUACGGCCCAGACGGCUACGGGAGGCAGCAGUGGGGAAUAUUGCACAAUGGGCGGAAGCCUGAUGCAGCAACGCCGCGUGCGGGAUGACGGCCUUCGGGUUGUAAACCGCUUUCGCCUGUGACGAAGCGUGAGUGACGGUAAUGGGUAAAGAAGCACCGGCUAACUACGUG
rnacentral:rRNA from 1 species